UACAGAGGGUGCGAGCGUUAAUCGGAAUUACUGGGCGUAAAGCGCACGUAGGUGGCGACGUAAGUCGGGUGUGAAAGCCCCGGGCUCAACCUGGGAAUUGCAUUCGAGACUGCAUUGCUGGAGUACGGAAGAGGAAGGCGGAAUUCCCGGUGUAGCGGUGAAAUGCGUAGAUAUCGGGAGGAACAUCAGUGGCGAAGGCGGCCUUCUGGUCCAACACUGACGCUCAUGCACGAAAGCGUGGGGAGCAAACAGG
rnacentral:rRNA from 1 species